UAUCACUUGACUACUUUAGAAAUCAUAUAUAAUGUCAUCUCCGGCAUUAUCGCUAUCAUUACCACAGUUGCUUUCACUGUUUACGCAAAAAGAGCUUUGCAAGAGCUUGAAAGGGCAGAGACUACUGAAGAAGUUCCUGCCUACAAUCCAGGCAGUUACGNAAGCUCCCACUUGAAAGGAGUAAUCAUGUAGGUUUGUCAUCUUUCCCAUCAUAGUCUAGACACUUGGAGGGAGUUGUUAGUGCCUGUAAAAAUAUUUGUCAUAUUAGAGGGGUUUUACUGUCCUUGAUUGUUUGUAGCAUACUUUUGUUUUCACCUUUUCAAUUUU
rnacentral:misc_RNA from 1 species